rnacentral:rRNA from 1 species
CGCGUAGGUAACCUGCCUUGUAGCGGGGGAUAACUAUUGGAAACGAUAGCUAAUACCGCAUAACAAUGGGUGACACAUGUCAUUUAUUUGAAAGGGGCGAUUGCUCCACUACAAGAUGGACCUGCGUUGUAUUAGCUAGUAGGUGAGGUAACGGCUCACCUAUGCGACGAUACAUAGCCGACCUGAUAGGGUGAUCGGCCACACUGGGACUGAGACACGGCCCAG